rnacentral:lncRNA from 1 species
CAGCUGGGAGGAGCACGGUUCUGCGGUGCCGCACGUGCACUACUACAAAAUACGGUGCACCUCUGGAUGGCUGCCAUCAGACGAUGGACGGCCAUCAAACAACACACGCAUGAGGACGAUCGUGUUAUACAUGCUGUGUUGGGUGGAUGUCUGGCCGGGACACCACCUCCCAAGAUCCUUUCAGUACCACGCGAUGCAGCAGGAAGAAAGAAGAAACAAAACAAAAGGAAAAAACAAUCAAAAUACGUGGAUCAGCCACAAAAGGGCUCGCCUCCACGGGACAUGCAAACUUCACUAUGAAAAAGAAAUUUUACAAGAGGAGACCUCACCCUCAAUCCUUGUACACCCAAUUCUUUCUCACCUGAAGUU